ACGCUUGAAGUCAGUCGCGUCUGCCGGGACUCAGCCUUGCUUCUGCUCGGUGCAUUUUCCGGUUGACGGGCCAGCAUCGAUCUUGACCGUUGGAGAAAGGUGGAGGGAAUGUGGCACCUUCGGGUGUGUUAUAGCCCCCUAUCGUAUGCAACGGUUGGGAUCGAGGACCGCAGCACGCCUUUAUGGCCGGGGUUCGCCCACGUUCGUGCUUAGGAUGCUGGCGUAAUGGCUUUAAGCGACCCGUCUUGAAACACGGACCAAGGAGUC
rnacentral:rRNA from 1 species